CUCUAAGUUGAGCUAUUGCUCCUUUUGGCAGGCAAUACCAUAUCUGGCUUUUCAAUGUCCUCUAUGGAUUAUACCUCAGGACAGCAGAAAGGUUUGAGGGCUACGCACCUUUCCAGGGUACUUUACAUCAAUAACUCCCCUGCCCUACUUCAUCUGUGCUGGAAAUUGAAACAAUGACCUCACCUCUAGCAAGUGCUCCACUGCUAAGCUACAAAGCUGUGAAGCCUUAUCCUUCAAAGUACAAACUCUAAGAGCUUGUUUGAGUGCAGAAUCUCAGACUCAACCUGAUAACUACUAAGUCAGAAUCUGCAUUUUCAUAAGAUCCCCACCUGGUUUACAGGCAGCUUAGAUUUUUGGAUCCCCUGAUCUGAAGCACAAGCAGUAAACAUUAGAAAAUAAUCAAAUCAAAAUUUUAAAUUAUAAUUAUUGCUACAGUUAAAGUGCAUUAGAACUAAGCAAAGUGGCAAGGAACUGUAUUCCAGCAAAUCAGGAGGCUGAAGUAAGAAGAUCACAAGCUUGAGGCCAGCCUAGACCAUUUAACAGGACUUUGUCUCAAAAUUAUUAUUAUUUUUAAUUUUUUGAAAGGACUGGGAUUGUAGCUAAGUGGUACAGCAUCCCUGGGGUUGAACACCAGUACUGCAAAACUAACAAACCAACCAACAGAAAGGAAGGGUGGAAGGAAGGAAGGAAGAAAGGGAGGGAGGGGAGGAAAGGGAGAGAGAG